AGGAGGGUUUGGGUGAAGGAAAGGGUCUGGGAGAGGUCAAGGUUUUGGAAGAAGAAAUUGAGGUGGUUUUGUUGGGAUUUGAAGAGAUUGAGGAGGGUAUUUUGGUCUAAUUCAGGAUAAGCACUUGGGGAGGGAAGGUCGAGAGACCCCAUUGAUGGUUUAGAGGCAGAGACAGAGACAGAGGCGGAGGCGGAGGUAUAUAUGGAGAUGCGGUUCCGGUGGCCUUUUUUUUUGAAAUGAUUAGAAGAGUUGGAUAAUAAACGCGGGAGCCGUGAUUUUUGUCGCCGUUAAUCGUUUUUCGCGGUGAGAAAGUG
rnacentral:misc_RNA from 1 species